rfam:Candidate division WWE3 bacterium GW2011_GWB2_43_22 TV89_C0018, whole genome shotgun sequence.
GGGUGAUUAGCUCAGUCGGCUAGAGCGCUUCUCUGAUAAGGAAGAGGUCCCAGGUUCGAUCCCUGGAUCACCCA